rnacentral:rRNA from 1 species
AUUGAACGCUGGCGGCAGGCCUAACACAUGCAAGUCGAACGAGUGGCGGACGGGUGAGUAAUGCCUGGGAAACUGCCCGAUGGAGGGGGAUAACUACGGGAAACAGUAGCUAAUACCGCAUACCAUCGGAUGUGCCCAGAUGGGAUUAGCUAGUUGGUGGGGUAACGGCUCACCUAGGCGAAGAUCCCGAGCUGGUCUGAGAGGAUGACCAGCCACACUGGAACUGAGACACGGUCCAGACUCCUACGUGAGGCAGCAGUGGGGAAUAUUGCGCAAUGGGCGCAAGCCUGAUGCAGCCAUGCCGCGUGUAUGAAGAAGGCCUUCGGGUUGUAAAGUACUUUCAGGGGGGAGGCGUUACUUGCAGAAGAAGCACCGGCUAACUCCGUGCCAGCAGCCGCGGUAAUAC